GUAUAUGGUAGGGGAGCGUUCUGUAAGCCUGUGAAGGUGACUUGUAAAGGUUGCUGGAGGUAUCAGAAGUGCGAAUGUUGACAUGAGUAGCGAUAAAGCGGGUGAAAAGCCCGCUCGCCGAAAGCCCAAGGUUUCCUACGCAACGUUCAUCGGCGUAGGGUGAGUCGGCCCCUAAGGCGAGGCAGAAAUGCGUAGUCGAUGGGAAACAGGUUAAUAUUCCUGUACUUUGAUUCAAUGCGAUGUGGGGACGGAGAAGGUUAGGUUAGCAAACUGUUGGAAUAGUUUGUUUAAGCCAGUAGGUGGAAAGAGUAGGCAAAUCCGCUCUUUCUUAACACCGAGACGUGAUGACGAGUGUCUACGGACAUGAAGUGACCAAUACCACGCUUCCAGGAAAAGCCACUAAGCUUCAGUUGAAUCAGAACCGUACCGCAAACCGACACAGGUGGGCAGGAUGAGAAUUCUAAGGCGCUUGAGAGAACUCGGGAGAAGGAACUCGGCAAAUUGAUACCGUAACUUCGGGAGAAGGUAUGCCCUCUAAUGUUAAGGACUUGCUCCGUAAGCAUCUGAGGGUCGCAGAGAAUCGGUGGCUGCGACUGUUUAUUAAAAACACAGCACUCUGCUAACACGAAAGUGGACGUAUAGGGUGUGACGCCUGCCCGGUGCUGGAAGGUUAAUUGAAGAUGUGCAAGCAUCGGAUCGAAGCCCCAGUAAACGGCGGCCGUAACUAUAACGGUCCUAAGGUAGCGAAAUUCCUUGUCGGGUAAGUUCCGACCCGCACGAAUGGCGUAACGAUGGCCACACUGUCUCCUCCCGAGACUCAGCGAAGUUGAAAUGGUUGUGAAGAUGCAAUCUCCCCGCUGCUAGACGGAAAGACCCCGUGAACCUUUACUGUAGCUUUGCAUUGGACUUUGAAGUCACUUGUGUAGGAUAGGUGGGAGGCUUUGAAGCAGAGACGCCAGUCUCUGUGGAGCUGUCCUUGAAAUACCACCCUGGUGACUUUGAGGUUCUAACCCAGACCCGUUAUCCGGGUCGGGGACCGUGCAUGGUAGGCAGUUUGACUGGGGCGGUCUCCUCCCAAAGAGUAACGGAGGAGUUCGAAGGUUACCUAGGUCCGGUCGGAAAUCGGACUGAUAGUGCAAUGGCAAAAGGUAGCUUAACUGCGAGACCGACAAGUCGAGCAGGUGCGAAAGCAGGACAUAGUGAUCCGGUGGUUCUGAAUGGAAGGGCCAUCGCUCAACGGAUAAAAGGUACUCCGGGGAUAACAGGCUGAUUCCGCCCAAGAGUCCAUAUCGACGGCGGAGUUUGGCACCUCGAUGUCGGCUCAUCACAUCCUGGGGCUGUAGUCGGUCCCAAGGGUAUGGCUGUUCGCCAUUUAAAGUGGUACGUGAGCUGGGUUUAAAACGUCGUGAGACAGUUUGGUCCCUAUCUGCAGUGGGCGUUGGAAGUUUGACGGGGGCUGCUCCUAGUACGAGAGGACCGGAGUGGACGAACCUCUGGUGUACCGGUUGUUUCGCCAGAAGCAUAGCCGGGUAGCUAAGUUCGGAAGAGAUAAGCGCUGAAAGCAUCUAAGCGCGAAACUCGCCCAAAGAUGAGACUUCCCUUGUGGUUUAACCAUACUAAAGAGUCGUUCGAGACCAGGACGUUGAUAGGUUGGGUGUGGAAGAGUGGUAACACUUGAAGCUAACCAAUACUAAUUGCUCGUGAGGCUUGACUCU
rnacentral:rRNA from 1 species